GCAAGCUACUGAGCACCGACCGGACCUUCCUGCUCAUCCCCAACAUUAUCACCAAGGCUUGCCACACAGUGCCCAGAACAUGGUACAUCUAAGCCUUCCGUCAAGUGAUCAUGACAUACUGACACAUCAAGCUCACCUGCAGGGUCGACCAGCAUUUGUCACAACCUACUCAGAGGCAGAAAAGCAGUUUUAC